rnacentral:rRNA from 1 species
CCUACGGGAGGCAGCAGUGAGGAAUAUUGGUCAAUGGGCGAGAGCCUGAACCAGCCAAGUCGCGUGAGGGAGUACUGCCCUAUGGGUUGUAAACCUCUUUUGUCGGGGAGCAAAAGCCGGACGUGUCCGGCUGUGAGAGUACCCGAAGAAAAAGCAUCGGCUAACUCCGUGCCAGCAGCCGCGGUAUUACGGGGGAUGCGAGCGUUAUCCGGAUUUAUUGGGUUUAAGGGGUGCGCAGGCGGAUUGUUAAGUCAGCGGUAAAAUCGGGGGGCUCAACCCCAUCCAGCCGUUGAAACUGGGGAUCUAGAGUGUGCGAGAGGUAUGCGGAAUGCGUGGUGUAGCGGUGAAAUGCAUAGAUAUCACGCAGAACCCCGAUUGCGAAGGCAGCAUACCGGUGCACAACUGACGCUCAGGCACGAAAGCGUGGGUAUCGAACAGGAUUAGAUACCCUUGUAGUC